rfam:Trachymyrmex cornetzi contig33764, whole genome shotgun sequence.
GUCAACAUUCAAACCAUGUUUAAAAUACCAGUUCUCGUCCGAUCACUGAAGUCAAGCAACAUUGGGCACGGUUAGUACUUGGAUGGGUGACCGCUUGGGAACACCGUGUGAUGUUGACA